rnacentral:rRNA from 1 species
CCUACGGGAGGCAGCAGUGAGGAAUAUUGGUCAAUGGACGAGAGUCUGAACCAGCCAAGCAGCGUGAAGGAUGACUGCCCUAUGGGUUGUAAACUUCUUUUAUCGGGGAAUAAAAUGUUCCACGUGUGGGAUUUUGUAUGUACCAUAUGAAUAAGGAUCGGCUAACUCCGUGCCAGCAGCCGCGGUAAUACGGAGGAUCCGAGCGUUAUCCGGAUUUAUUGGGUUUAAAGGGUGCGCAGGUGGAUGGUUAAGUCAGGUGUGAAAAUUUGCGGCUCAACCGUAGACUUGCAGUUGAAACUGGGAGUGUUGAGUGCAGUAGAGGUGGGCGGAAUUCGUGGUGUAGCGGUGAAAUGCUUAGAUAUCACGAAGAACUCCGAUUGCGAAGGCAGUUCACUGGACUGCAACUGACACUGAGGCUCGAAAGUGUGGGUAUCAAACAGGAUUAGAUACCCGGGUAGUC